AAACCGUUCGGGGGUAAACGGACAGAGCCCGUGAAUCCGGGCGGCGGAAUUCAGAAUCGACGGCGUUCACGCGUCGUCGGUUCGAUAUUUCCGUCGCCGUUCAAUUACGGACGUCGCGACCCGUUCGGUGUCGGUCCGAGGAGACGUGUAAAAGUUCGACGGCGCGUGUCGAGUCGUUUCGGCGGCUAGGCGCGCGUCGUCGAGUCGCGUAUUCUGGCCGACUCGCCGGACGGUACGUGUAACGGUGGCCGCGGCGACCUAGCGUCGUCGUUGGUACCGGUCUGCGACGAAUCUUCGGGCCUCUUUCCGA
rnacentral:rRNA from 1 species